rfam:Hordeum vulgare subsp. vulgare, WGS project CAJW01000000 data, contig: morex_contig_1621936
UUGGUACUCCCUCCGUUCGAAAUUAGUUGUCACAAAAAUGAUAGAAAUGGAUGUAUCUAGAACUAAAAUACUUUUGGAUACAUCCAUUCCUCGGACAAGUAUUUUUAGACGGAGGGAGUAUUUG